GGUUGUGUCUCAGUGGUAGAGUGCUUGCUUAGCACAUAUGAUGUCCUGGGUUCAAUCCCCAGUACAUCCA
rnacentral:tRNA from 1 species